UUAGGAAUGAGAGGGCGAAACUCCUAUUUGGCAAGAGAAGCAGAGGACUUCAAAAUGCUUGCUUCUAGUUUGCCAAAGGAGAUUUGCCCUGCCAUUUUUUU
rnacentral:pre_miRNA from 1 species